UGGAAUCGCUAGUAAUCGCGAAUCAGAAUGUCGCGGUGAAUACGUUCCCGGGUCUUGUACACACCGCCCGUCACACCAUGGGAGUCAGUAACGCCCGAAGUCAGUGACCCAACCGGAAGGAGGGAGCUGCCGAAGGCGGGACGGAUGACUGGGGUGAAGUCGUAACAAGGUAGC
rnacentral:rRNA from 1 species